rnacentral:lncRNA from 1 species
AUGAGAACCAACAUUUGCGAUUCUCAUCCGAUAGAGAGAGGGAUUAAAGUACACAGAAAUGGUAAAUCUUUAUCAAAGCAAUCUGGACUAGCUCUUGGUUCGGGCACCAUCCCGUUAAGGACAGGUUUUCUUAUCUCCACGGUCGAGUUUCCCCAAUUCCAGUACCUUGGGAAGGCAUCACUUAUGCUAGAAGGCUUCACAGCCCUCCUUACUAGCAGCCCAGAUCAGUUUUGUGCUCGGCUUGAUGCCAUCUCAGAUGUCCAUUCAAGUAGCCUGCCUACCCUAUUUUCUCUUAGAGAGGGGGCCUAG